UAGCAGGGCUUUUGAUUCCCUUGUGCAUUUUAAUACUCGCCUUGCUGUUCUGCUGCUGCUGUUGUGGGCGGCCCGUUGAAGGGAAGGAAGGAGUGGCGGUUGGAGAUGGCAGCCCUGCGGUCCACAUGAAGCAUCAUGUUUAUACUGUGCUGGCCAACAUGGGUUCAGCAAUGCCGUGCUUUAGUCUUUGGUCAUCUGGUUUGCCUAGGGUUACAGUCUCUCAUCAUGACCCUGAGCUCACAUUUAACCAUAGCUUCAUUGAGCAGCCAUCGUCCGGCUGGGUGACUGAUUCAUUU